AGGGCGCAUGGUGAAUGCCUUGGCAUCAGGAGCCGAUGAAGGACGUGAUAAGCUGCGAUAAGCUUCGGGUAGGCGCACAUAGCCUGAGAUCCGAAGAUCUCCGAAUGAGGAAACUCAAGUACCUGGAGGAAGAGAAAGAAAAAUCGAUUUUCUUAGUAGCGGCGAGCGAAAGGGAAAGAGCCCAAACCGGAAACUUGUUUCCGGGGUUGAGGACAUAACAUAAAGAGAAGUAAUGGCUAAUUGAAGAGAACUGGAAAGUUCCACCGUAGAAGGUAAUAGUCCUGUAAAUGAAAGCUAGUAUAAUCGAGUUAUGAUCCAGAGUACCACGAGACACGUGAAACCUUGUGGGAAGCUGGGAGGACCACCUCCCAAGGCUAAAUACUACCUGAUGACCGAUAGUAGUACCGUGAGGGAAAGGUGAAAAGAACCCCGGGAGGGGAGUGAAAUAGAACCUGAAACCGUGUGCCUACAACCGCUCAGAGCCCCUUAUGAGGGUGAUGAGGUGCUUUUUGUAGAACGAGCCAACGAGUUACGGUAUGUAGCAAGGUUAAGUACUUAAGGUACGGAGCCGAAGGGAAACCGAGUCUGAAUAGGGCGACUAGUUGCAUGCCGUAGACCCGAAACCGGGUGACCUAUCCAUGGCCAGGUUGAAGCGAGGGUAAAACCUCGUGGAGGACCGAACCACGUUGCUGUUGAAAAAGCAUGGGAUGAGCUGUGGAUAGCGGAGAAAUUCCAAUCGAACCCGGAGAUAGCUGGUUCUCUCCGAAAUAGCUUUAGGGCUAGCGUCGAGUAUGAGUAGUGGAGGUAGAGCACUGAAUGGGCUAGGGGGCAUAGCGCUUACCGAACCUUAUCAAACUCCGAAUGCCACAUACUUUGAGCUCGGCAGUCAGACUACGAAUGAUAAGAUCCGUGGUCAAAAGGGAAACAGCCCAGAUCGUCAGCUAAGGUCCCAAAGUGUAAGUUAAGUGGGAAAGGAUGUGAGAUUUCUAAGACAACUAGGAUGUUGGCUUAGAAGCAGCCAUUCAUUAAAAGAGUGCGUAAUAGCUCACUAGUCGAGAGAUCUUGCGCCGAAAAUGUAACGGGGCUAAACUUACCACCGAAGCUACGGGCUUGAACUUAGUUCAAGCGGUAGGAGAGCGUCGUAACCGGGCUGAAGUCGUACCGUAAGGAGCGGUGGACUGGUUACGAGUGAGAAUGUUGGCAUCAGUAGCGAGAUGUGGGUGAGAAUCCCACAGGCCGAAAACCUAAGGUUUCCUCAGGAAGGUUCGUCCGCUGAGGGUUAGUCGGGACCUAAGCCGAGGCCGAAAGGCGUAGGUGAUGGACAACUGGUUGAUAUUCCAGUACCACUACCAUCGUUAUUAUCGAUGGCGUGACGCAGGAGGAUAGUGUGUGCUAGCUAUUGGAUGCUAGUCUAAGCGUUUAGGCAGUGAGAGUAGGCAAAUCCGCUCUCAUAAUGCUGAGGCGUGAUGGGGAAGGUUCUACGGAACCGAAGUACAUGAUUCCACGCUGCCAAGAAAAGCGUCUAGAGAGAGAAGUAGUGCCCGUACCGCAAACCGACACAGGUAGGUGAGGAGAGAAUCCUAAGGCCGGCGGAAGAAUUACAGUUAAGGAACUCGGCAAAUUGACCCCGUAAGUUCGCGAGAAGGGGUGCCUACGAGAGUAGGCCGCAGAGAAUAGGCCCAAGCAACUGUUUAGCAAAAACACAGGUCUCUGCUAAAGCGUAAGCUGAUGUAUAGGGGCUGACGCCUGCCCGGUGCUGGAAGGUUAAGGGGAACACUUAGCGCAAGCGAAGGUGUGAACUUAAGCCCCAGUAAACGGCGGCCGUAACUAUAACGGUCCUAAGGUAGCGAAAUUCCUUGUCAGGUAAGUUCUGACCCGCACGAAUGGCGUAAUGACUUGGGCACUGUCUCAACUGUAAAUCCGGCGAAGUUGUAGUGCGAGUGAAGAUGCUCGCUACCCGCGAUUGGACGGAAAGACCCCGUAGAGCUUUACUGUAGCUUAGCAUUGAGUUUUGGUAUUGUCUGUACAGGAUAGGUGGGAGACUAGGAAACCAGGGCGUCAGCCUUGGUGGAGUCAACCUUGGGAUACCACCCUGACAGUACUGAAAUUCUAACUGGCGGCCAUGAAUCUGGUCACAGGACAUUGUUAGGUGGGCAGUUUGACUGGGGCGGUCGCCUCCUAAAAAGUAACGGAGGCGCCCAAAGGUUCCCUCAGAACGGUCGGAAAUCGUUCGAAGAGUGCAAAGGCAGAAGGGAGCCUGACUGCGACACCCACAAGUGGAGCAGGGACGAAAGUCGGGCUUAGUGAUCCGGUGGUACCUCGUGGGAGGGCCAUCGCUCAACGGAUAAAAGCUACCUCGGGGAUAACAGGCUGAUCUCCCCCAAGAGUCCACAUCGACGGGGAGGUUUGGCACCUCGAUGUCGGCUCGUCGCAUCCUGGGGCUGAAGUAGGUCCCAAGGGUUGGGCUGUUCGCCCAUUAAAGCGGCACGCGAGCUGGGUUCAGAACGUCGUGAGACAGUUCGGUCCCUAUCCGUCGCGGGCGUAGGAAAUUUGAGAGGAGCUGUCCUUAGUACGAGAGGACCGGGAUGGACUGACCUCUGGUGUACCAGUUGUUCCGCCAGGAGCACAGCUGGGUAGCUAAGUCGGGAAUGGAUAAACGCUGAAAGCAUCUAAGCGUGAAGCCAACCUCAAGAUGAGAUUUCCCAUAGCGUAAGCUAGUAAGAUCCCUUGA
rnacentral:rRNA from 1 species